rnacentral:lncRNA from 1 species
AGAACAAGGGAACUAUCUGUUUGCUAAAGGAUGGUAGCAUGUCUCAGCCAAAUUACCCCCAAGACACUUGCAAAAAUAAAGAGACUAACUGAUGCCCUGUGGAGUCUGAAAGAACAUAAGGCUCUGGGAAAAAAAAGACACCUGUGACUGGUUGUGCCCUCUCAGUUGAUCUUUUUUGCUUUGAGCUUCAUUGACUCAAUCCACCCAAAGAAAAUCAUCCCUUCAAUGAAAGCCAUGAACUCCAUAUCCCAUAUCUAAUCAAUACGUAGUCAGAAAAUAAGCUAUACACAACCAAAGCUGCUCAAACAAGUUUCAGUGAUAACUUGAUCAUCCUUACCAUGUAGCUACUUCAAACAUGAUUUGCUUUUCACCAAUUAUAGAUAUUACCUAAUUCAAAGUAAUAUUUGUUGUGGUACUCUAGUGUAAGCAAAGUACAGAGAAUAAAUAGUCAAAAGACCUAUGAUCUUGUUCCAUCCACCACUCACAGGAAGAUAAUCAUUACUCAUGUUAGUGCUUUAGUUUGGACUCUAUGAGAGCAAAUUUUUAUAUAAUUUAUUAGGAAGAUCUGGGAGACAAGCACUGCAAGGGCAUGCUCUGGGAGAUUUAUCACAUACAAAAGACUAAGAAAGGACAGGAUUAAAAUAUGAGGUCAGAAGAAAAAACUCAACACCCCAGGAACAGAAUCAGUGCUUUUUCCUCCAAAUAGUUAUUUUGAAUGUAAUCAGCAUCAACCAGCCUCUCUUCUGCCAGCUCUUAUUAUUUCUAUUUUAUCCCCUGCCAAUCUGGAUGUGGGACAAGUGCAAGUUCCUCCAAAGAAACUACUGGUGUAAAAGUAUAAAUGGGAAACGUAGUUGUUUUUGAUGAUUUUGUAAGAAAAAUGGAGAAGACAUUUAUGUUGAACAUGGAAAACAUGUUUUAAAUCUCUUUAUAUUGGAGAUUAGAUUAUACACAGGUGCACAUUUGUCUCUUUAUCUAUUUAUCUGCCUAUCUAUACACAAAAUGUGUAUACACAAAUAUUUAUUAAAAUAUAUACCCUCUUUUUCUGUGUACUAUAUGGAAGGGGUAUAUGAAUAAUUGCUAUACUAUUCUUGCAACUUUUCUAAAUUAUUGAUAUUUGUCAAAAUAAAACAUUUGUGAGAAUCCCCCUUAAUAUAUCUGUUCCUCAAAACCCACACUUGGCUCCUCACUUCCAGGGUGCUCGUCUUUAACACUGUCCCAGCUUUGAUGGCUCUGGAGUUUUCCACAAGAUUUCUGUCUCUCUCCCAUAUCAAAUAUGUUUCUUCUGUUAUACAAAAUGUUUACCUCUGCUUGGCAUCUACCUCCAAACUCACAAUCCUAAGCCCUUCAAAAUGUUCUGUGAAAUCUGGUGAGUUCCAGUUAAUAAAGCCUGCUCCUCUCCUGAGAAGACAGUUUAGCUAUCACCAUGGGCAACCUGAGCAUGCGUUUUUGAGAUAUCAUCCCUACCCCAGGUCACAGAACACAAUGGUGUUUCUACCCAAUGCUACUGCACAAGAAUUCUGAGGAAUGGAAUUUUCUUAAUGUCAUUUCAUAAUUAGGACUCCAACACGAUGCUAAAUUAGAAACACUAACGUUAUUUCUAAACUUAACGCAUGUCGCAUGUCAUCUGAAGCUUGAUUGGAAGUCGACUUCCUAAUUCCCAGUUUUCAGAACACUGACAAGGACUUUCUCACAGAACUAUUAAACUUCCAGAGAUGUCACAAAGCAAGAACGACUUGUUGAACUGACAGCCAAGGGCUUUCAUAGUAAGCACAAUAACUAAAAAGGCUUUCUAGUAGUUGAAAGGUUGAACAUUGAUUUCUAAAGCCCCAAGUACUGUUAAUUUCUUAUACUGAGGGCAUUUGGAAGUGAUUGUCCUAUUCUGGAACUCUAAGUACAGGUCAAUUACACCUUACACUAAUUCUAAAUGGAUCUCCAAGGUAAAUGAGCAAGAGCCUGACAGCUAAGCAUCAGUAAACAGGAUUUAAUGUUAUAAUUAUUUGACCUCAAGGCAGGAUAUCUGGGUUUGCCUCUAAUACCCACAUAUCCCCCUUUCUCCCUUUUCCCCUCUUCUGAAAUAGUUUUUUCCAAUAUGCCCAUGUCCUUGUGUUGAGCUCUCUGUUUAAAGACCGCAGAUGUGCUCAACACUUACAUUAUUUCUCCCCAUUGUCUCCUCGACCGCAAACUGAUACCCCAGAUAUACCUCAGAUUAAAUUCCAAUUUCAAUGGUUUAGGUUGAAGUAUUUAUGAAUUCUGUAUGAGAAUCACAAUGAAAACAAAAGGAAUAUUGGACAUUCAUUGGGCCCCAUUAGAAAGAAGAUCCUUUCCCAACUCCUCUCUUCUUCCCUUAAAAUGCCCUCUAACCCUCUAUUCUCACACUAGGUCACUAGGGACCCACAUCCCACUCAGACCUACCUUUUAAUAGUGAAACUAGGUUAGGGGAUGCUAUUAAUAAAACAAACACUUUGUCCACAUGAUAUGCGUAUGAGGGAUAUUUGCAUUUUAAAAGAGAAUUGUAUAAUGGUUU